rnacentral:misc_RNA from 1 species
UCCGGUUUGUCACCGGCAGUCUCGCAUGAGUCCCCAACUAAAUGCUGGCAACAUGCGACGGGGGUUGCGCUCGUUGCGGGACUUAACCCAACAUCUCACGGCACGAGCUGACGACAGCCAUGCACCACCUGUAUACCGACUAAAAGGGGCCGUAUCUCUACGGCUUUCCGGCAUAUGUCAAACCCAGGUAAGGUUCUUCGUUUAUCAUCGAAUUAAAGAACACGAUCCACCGCUUGUGCGGGUCCCCGUCAAUUCCUUUAUGUUUUAGUCUUGCGACCGUACUCCACAGGCGGGAUACUUAACGCGUUAGCUCCGCUACUGAAGGGGUCGAUACCUCCAACAGCUAGUAUCCAUCGUUUACGGCGUGGACUAC